GUUGAAAAACCGCUUGCCGUAUGAUCACCGAAGUUAAACAACGUCGAGUCGGGUCAGUACCUAGACGGGUGACCGCUUGGGAAUACCAGGUGCUGUAAG